ensembl:lncRNA
CCAAAAUUAGUGUAGCGAGCAGUACUUUGUUUUUCACCAACAGGUCUGGAACUUUGCAUGAACAUGGAGCAGGCCAUAGACAUAUUCAUUCUUUCUGGAACACUAUUCAUGGAUAACAUAAACAGCAGUAACCUUUUCAAAGGAUUGAGUAUGAUAACUUUAAAGAAUCAAGGAUGAUUGAUGACCAUCAGUUGUGAACUGCUUAUGGAGACAUCUGUGCUGCCUGGCUACCGACUGGCUCUCAUUUUAUUUUUUAUUUCAAAGAUACUCUUUCAUAACAUGUUCUUGUCCAAAAUGGCAAGGAGGCUAUAGGAUAAAAAGCAGUGCCUUGGAGAGGAUCGUCCCCUCAUGGCCUAAAUUUUAACAGCAGCAAAAGUGAAAUAAAAAUGCAUUAGAUAUCUGGUAAUGAGCUGACAAAGGUGUUAAGGCAGCCAGGUGCUGCAUAUCUCAUCUGAAGUGUAUGUUAAGUGUUGGGCUCACAGAGCGAGGCAGCCUUAUGUAUUUUUAGAAGUGUGAGAAUUGUUGUGGGAAGCCAGAUCCUUCUAUAUUUCUCCUCUGCUUCCCUUUGGAGGCUCUCACAUUCCCCACACUUUAAUUUCAAGCUCCAGUUAUUCUGUUAUUUAAGAAAAAUAUUGUCAGCAUUGCUUGUAACUUCAGCGCUUUGUCCAACAGAAAGCAGGCGCAGGCAACUUUUUACUUUUCCCCAUCAUUCAGUGGGAGUCCAGUGGCCAAGAGGAAGAAAGCCUCGGGGUAGGGGUGUCUACCAGCAUGCAGUGAAAUAGCUCUAGCACAUGUUGUUUCAGCAGGAUUGCUUUUUUUUUCCUGGCGCUGUCCUGUUGUGAAGGGAGGUGUAUACUUGGCUGCCACAAACACAAACUUAAUUAACUUGCACUUUCACCUGUAACAGUCACAGGUCAAGGAUUGCCUGGAUUUUGUACUUCCAUUUUUUUUAAAAGUAGUCUGCUUUGUGUCCUAAAGAAGAUUCAUGCUUCUCUUCUUUAUUGAUCACUGUGUCUGUAGAAUGAGAGGAAUUUGCAAUAAAUAAAAU